GCAGUAUGCCGUUAGUGAAAAGUGUGAGCGAGGCAGAGCGCAUAACUGGAAAAAAGAGAGAAGAGACGCUGAAACAGGAAAACAUGACCAAACAAGUUGUCUAGCACACCAGAUCAUUUUAUUUCCAUCCGCCUUCAAUAUUUUAUAAACACCUAAAAGAGGAUUAUAAGUGAACAAUUUAACGUGGAGCGUUUGCUUCGCUGCAUCAGAAUUUGCGGAUGUUGACAGAAGUGAAGAAUUUUGACCGAUUUCAAGUCUUCACCUCAAGCACAGGAGCCCUACACCAAACGAAUGCUGGAGAGGUAACGUUAAUCCAGCAUGUUCCAGUGCCAAAUGAACAGGGAGGCCUGCACUCUCUACUUCAAAGCAAAGCAGCAGUGUUAAGUUACCUGAGGAAAACAGGAUAAUUUAAAGUCCAGGAGACUGCUU